GGAGUGUGCUAGAGUCUGUGCUUGAUCAGGCUGAUGGAAUCUGAGUAUGUGCGGGGAGUGCUGAGGGGGUGGGCUUGUUGUGAAUGCAGAUGGUGGCCUGAAGUGCAGACUGAGCAAUGCUCAUCAUCACUCCCAGCAUAGCCUGGGUGCGAGGGGAUGGCAGGAGAAGAGGAUGACAUUGAAAUAAGUGACACAGAGAUGCUGAAAUUGCUCCCUUCUCACUCCACUGGACAGAAGUGGUCACAUGGCCCCACCUCACAACACAGCUGGGAGGACUGGUCUUCCCACAUGCCCAGGAAAGAGAGCUGUCCACCUCUUCUGCAGGCCCAGUGUGCACACAGCUGCCCUGAUGACCUGCUGGAGGGAUCUGGAAUGGGCCUGCUGCUUCAUCGACCUCUCAGCAAGAAGCCCCCUCACUGGGUGAACCACUGAGCACCUUCGCAUCCUUUAAGGCUCUGCUCAGCCACCCUGUUCUCUGAAAAUGCUCCCUGAGCCCCCUAGGCAGAGGGCCAUUUGCCAUUGUGGUCAUUCCACAGGUUGCUAUGAAGGCGUACUCAUCAAGGAAGAAAGGCAGAACAUGUUAUUUAGCAAUUCCUUCACCUGAUUCAGUAUUUCCAAGUAUUUGGACAUGUGGUUCAUGGGCUUCCAUUUGUACUCUUGUAAUCGCAGAACCAGCUCAACUACCCCCAUCUCUCAUCAACAGAGUGAUUAAGAAUUGUCUUUCAGAAAAUCUGCAAUGUCACAUAGCCAGGGCAUGCACAAAAGAAAAAAUCUUGACCUGAAAUGACCAUGGAACCAAAGAUCCUCCUCCCCAUGGAAUCCAAGGACCUGGAUAAGACUGGAACUUGAAAGUCCGACUCUUCUCAGAAGUGAGGGGUCCCUCAUUCAGGAAGAUUCUGCGUUAAAAUCCCUUUCAUACCUCAACAAAAAUGUUUAGAACCCCAUCAUAAAUGUUUAGAACCUUACCAUAAAUGUUUGAAGACCACCGUCAAAACCUGUCCCACCAGUGUUUCCACAUUCCAGCCUAUUCUCCCUAACAUCUUAAAUAUCA
rnacentral:lncRNA from 1 species